rnacentral:lncRNA from 1 species
AUGGAGGUUAAUAAUUUCCUGAUUGAGCUGACAUCGGCACCUAUCUGGGAAGGACGACCAGGAUUCUGGGUACUCUCUAUUGAAAAGAGACGUUCUGCCUUUUUCUGAUUUCUUGAAAUGGGAAGACGUCAGUUCUAAAAGCAGGAACAUGAUCAUUGUGCGAGUUUAGAAAUAGCGUCCCUGUGUGGUUCGCUGUGAUUUGCAGCAGAUUUUUUUUUUUUAAUUCCACAUGGAUCUUUGCAGUCAAUGCAGGAGACUGGGUGGUACAGGAUUGUGCCUACCCAUUUUAUAGAUGGGGACAAGAACAUGCCAAAGUCAUGUUGCCUGUCAAGUGUGGCCAGUGUCACCCAGUCCUUCCUAAACUUUCAGCUUGCCUCCUUCAGUAAAAAUCUAUUACUGAAAUAUGAAAACACAUCAUAGUAGAUUCUAGAAGCAUGCACCAUUAAAGGCAGUCCCUUGAUCAUUUUCAAACGAGGCUACUCAAUCAACUCCCAAAGGAGAUAUUCAGGGUUAGAAGAUUUUAUUCUAUGUAGUUCAAAUAAUCCUAACUGAAGCUAUAGAGCAAAAAUAUUUUCAUAGUUAUUAAUAAUUAGCUAUCGAUUGGUUUCCAGGGUGAUGGUGACAUCAGACAUUGCCAGUGCUGGUAACCUGAAGUGAGGAAAGGCACUUGCAAAAGAGGUACACUGGAGGCUGAGGUGGCUCAGUGGAUGAAGCAUCUACUGGGCAAGCAUAAGGAACAGAGUUCAAAUCCUCAGAGCCUCAUAAACUGGAAGCAGGAACCCUAGCUUGAGAUAGUACGCAGCAGUGAACAGCACCUUAGACAAGGUAGAUGUUAAGAACUAACCCUUGAGGUUGUCUCUUGGUUUCCACAAGCAUGCUGUGGUGCACUAGUAUGCCAUACAUCCAAAUGCACCUCUCUCUCUCUCUCUCUCUCUCUCUCUCUCUCUCUCUCUCUCUCUCUCUCUCUCUCUCUUUCUCUCUCCCUCUCACACUCACACUCACACACAUGGGGGGGGGGGAGAAAGAGAGAAAGUGAGAAAGAGAGAGAGAAGAGGCACAUUUUUAUUCUACAACUUAGCCUCAGUUUGACCUUAGAUAACUAUAAGAAUCUGAGCCUCAGUUUCUUCUCCCAGAAAAUGGGAAUAAUACUAAGAACUGAAAAAUUUGGGGGAAAAUCAAGACACAUUAUAAUAGGGGAAAGCGCUUUAGAUAUUUUAAAAUUCUUAAAAUGAGAAGGACUCAGGGUAAGAAUAUUAUGAACUUUUUUUAAAUUUUAUAAACAAUGGCAAAUCAUAGUAACAUUUAUGUGGAUUUCGUUGGAUCUAAUGAUGAUCCUGUCUUAAGUCAGCAUGGGAGGAAAGAGCAAGACACGGGCAAGGAGGUAGUGUCCAUGGUAACCACCCUUGAUUGGCACAUGUGAGCAGUAGCUCUUCAGGGAAGGACAUGGCAAUGUAGGUGGGUAACUGGUCCUGUUACUGGGUAACCUCUAAUCAUGCUUAUUCUCAAACUGCUGAGUACUUAAUCUAUUGGCGGUUGGCUUUCCAAAUGCAUGCAUGUGCAGGCUUGGGUUUUUACAUGAAGGUUUGUUGAUGGCCUGGAACUAGGAAUGGGGAAGGUUAAGCUAAUGAUGUCAUUGAGUCAAGACCAAGCACGCCUGGGUGUUUUAGACUCCAGCUUGCUUUCAGGAUUUCUAACAGUCUAUAGUUGUCAUCAUCCAGGAUACACUGAAAGUCGUGGUCCAUUUAGAAACUGCUUCAGAGAUGCUCUACUGAGAGCCGCAUAGCACAGUUGGAAUUGGAGCCAAGACUUUGAAGACUUUCAACAGUCUCGCUCAAAUGAUAUAACCGUGGAGAAUUUCUCAAGCAUUCUGUGUCUCGCUAUUUUUAUCCAUAUAUGGGCAUGUGGUAUCGACUUCCUGGGAUUGUUUUAUGGACUAAAUGAGCUAUUAUAUGGUGGAAAGGUACUCAGUGGAUAGAUAAAUAGUGAUUGUCUGUAAUCGUUACCAUGAAUAUUGGUAUGUGCUUUUCUCAUUGGAAUUUGAGUCCUCCUGGCAACUCCUGGGUUACUUUGCUACAAAUCCCUCCCUGGUGGUUCUGGUUCCUUCCACUGGGGCUGUUUUUUCUACGUGUGUUGAGCUCAGCUGUGUCAUCACAACAGAAUAUUUCUUAAGAAUUUUUAUUUUGCUACUGAAAAAUGUUACUGACUGGACUGGCAACAUUUUUCAAAGGAUUACCUGAUUUGAUCAUACCUGGGGCAGGCAGAUGUGUUCUGGAAUCUAGAUGGUCUGCCUUGGGCUGUCUUUGUUUUUGCAAAGCCCUUAAGGUGAUUGUAGAGAUCUCUGAGUCUCCUUGACUUACCUUGCUGUCCUUAAAUGGUGCUCUGCCUUGCCCAAGACUCAAUUUUUUCAUUUGUAUAAUGGAAUUGCUGAUCUUGAAUCUACUGAGGAAAUCAGAGAUGAUGAUUU